AGUGAACGCUGGCGGCGUGCCUAAUACAUGCAAGUCGAACGGAGAUUAAGUAGCUUGCUAUUUAAUCUUAGUGGCGCACGGGUGAGUAAUAUAUAGCUAACUUGCCCAUUACUAAGGGACAACAGUUGGAAACGACUGCUAAUACCUUAUACUCCGUAUCUAUAUAAGUAGAUACGGGAAAGUUUUUCGGUAAUGGAUAGGGCUAUAUCGUAUCAGCUAGUUGGUAAGGUAAUGGCUUACCAAGGCUAUGGCGCGUAACUGGUCUGAGAGGAUGAUCAGUCACACUGGAACUGAGACACGGUCCAGACUCCUACGGGAGGCAGCAGUAGGGAAUAUUGCUCAAUGGGGGAAACCCUGAAGCAGCAACGCCGCGUGGAGGAUGACACUUUUCGGAGCGUAAACUCCUUUUCUUGGGAAAGAAUUAUGACGGUACCCAAGGAAUAAGCACCGGCUAACUCCGUG
rnacentral:rRNA from 1 species